rnacentral:lncRNA from 1 species
CCCACGUGAAACAUGGCUCCUCUUUCUGCCCCCUAAAGUAUGUAUCUUGGCAUUUGCUGGCAGCAGCUCAAGCAGACACACAGACUGGAUGGACACUGGACCCACUUCUAGCCUGAAACAGGGCACAUCACCUGUACAAACCUGCUGUUCCACCGCACACCGGCCCACGUAACCUCGCACCCACAGAGGACACUCAUCAGAGGGCUCCAGCCUCAACGCGCUCAACUCGGGACAUGUGUCAACCACACAGGUACGUCCUUGAAAUCGGGUUUCCCAAAAGACGAUGUUCAGAGAAAGAAAAUCUUGCUGAUACCCAUUCUUCCUGGUCCUAACAUCCACAGGCACUCCGAGUAGCAGCUUGAUACCAUAACUGGUUUGAAAUCAUCCUUUGUGAGCACAAGAGGCUGGUGAGUACAGAGGAGAAGAGAAGAGAGUGACGCCAGCUCUCAACCACACAAGCGUCUUUCCUUUAGUCUGGGGCCAUCUGUGAGAGUCUCCAGGAAAGUCAGAGGGGCUUUCCACUUUCACCUGUCUCUUUGGGGGCCAGGUAAUGAUCAGAAAAUUGGUAACUGUACUGUACGAAUACAUACUGACACUAGGAUACCUUGAAAGAAAAAAGACAGGAAUUAAAGUGUUGGCCCUGUAAAGAGACAGUUAGGUGAGGGGAAAACGUUGAAUCCACGGACCUGAGACCUAAGUUCAGUUGUGACAGCACGUGCUUUGUGACUUGAAUUUACAUCAUUUCAUUCCUCUGAACCUGGAUUUCCUUUUGCUAAGACAGAGGCAGAACAAUUAGUGCAUCUCACGCCGCUAUGUGGCCAUGGGACCAAGUGAUUUAAAAAGUGGAAAGAAUGUUAUUUUGGGUGUCCAAAUUUUUAAUCCCAUGUCUUUGUAUUCUGUCUCAUCUACGGAAAAUUAAGUCACAUUUUCCAUUUCCAAUUUGUAAAUGAGAAAAUUGAGUCUCAAAAAGUCGUGGGACUUAUCCAGUGCUAAACAGUGAACAGGAAGAAAAGCUGAGGCUACAAUUCCUGAACUGUUGCUUUUUAUAAAUUGAGACUUCCCAGACAAAGGCAAGGAUUUUCUCAAGGUCGUAACAACACUCUUGUGACAGACUCGGAACUAAAGUUCAGAAAUCCAGGUGUGCUACAGAGGAUUCUUUUAGGUGGGCAACGUCCCUGCAUUCUGCAACAAAAAGAACACACUCUUCCGGGAUGCCCACUGUUUGAGCUCAAGGCCACCCCGCUCCCUCCCUC